rnacentral:rRNA from 1 species
CAGUAGCCACGGUAAUACAGAGGGUGCGAGCGUUAAUCGGAUUUACUGGGCGUAAAGCGUGCGUAGGCGGCUUUUUAAGUCGGAUGUGAAAUCCCUGAGCUUAACUUAGGAAUUGCAUUCGAUACUGGGAAGCUAGAGUAUGGGAGAGGAUGGUAGAAUUCCAGGUGUAGCGGUGAAAUGCGUAGAGAUCUUGAGGAAUACCGAUGGCGAAGGCAGCCAUCUGGCCUAAUACUGACGCUGAGGUACGAAAGCAUGGGGAGCAAACAGGAUUAGAUACCCCCGUAGUCCCUGUCUCUUAUAC